GACGAACGCUGGCGGCGUGCCUAAUACAUGCAAGUCGAACGCAGUGGGGAAGGGGGAGUAACACGUGGGUAACCUCCCAUCAGAGGGGAUAACGCUUGGACACAGGUGCUAAACCGAUACUGCACGAUGGACCCGCGGUGCAUUAGCUAGUUGGUGAGGUAACGGCUCACCAGGGCCACGAUGCAUAGCCGACCGGAGAGGGUGACCGGCCACACGUGAACUGAGACACGGCCCAGACUCCUACGGGAGGCAGCAGUAGGGAAUCUUUGGAAAUGGACGAAAGUCUGACCAAGCAACUCCGCGUGAGUGAAGAAGGUUUUCGGGUCGUAAAGCUCUGUCGUUCUGGGAGCGGUAUUUAAUCAGAAAGCCACGGCUAACUACGUGCCAGCAGCCGCGGUAAUAC
rnacentral:rRNA from 1 species